rnacentral:rRNA from 1 species
CUACGGGAGGCAGCAGUGGGGAAUUUUGCGCAAUGGGGGAAACCCUGACGCAGCAACGCCGCGUGAGUGAAGAAGCAUCUUGGUGUGUAAAGCUCUGUCGACAGGGAAUAAGGUAGUGUGGUUAAGAGCAGUACUAUUUGAAUGUACCUGUAGAGGAAGCCCCGGCUAACUCCGUGCCAGCAGCCGCGGUAAUACGGAGGGGGCCAGCGUUAUUCGGAAUUACUGGGCGUAAAGGGCGCGUAGGUGGUUGUGUAAGUGGGAAGUGAAAGCCCUCGGCUUAACCGGGGAACGGCUUUUCAAACUGCACAACUUGAGGAUGGGAGAGGAAAGUGGAAUUCCAGGUGUAGCGGUGAAAUGCGUAGAGAUCUGGAGGAACACCAGUGGCGAAGGCGGCUUUCUGGACCAUACCUGACACUGAGGCGCGAAAGCGUGGGGAGCAAACAGGAUUAGAUACCCUUGUAGUCC